AGGGAAUCUUCCACAAUGGACGAAAGUCUGAUGGAGCAACGCCGCGUGAGCGAUGAAGGCCUUCGGGUCGUAAAGCUCUGUUGUUAGGGAAGAACAAGUAUCGGAGAAACUGCCGGUACCUUGACGGGACCUAACCAGAAAGCCACGGCUGACUACGUGCCAGCAGCCGCGGUAAUACGUAGGUGGCAAGCGUUGUCCGGAAUUAUUGGGCGUAAAGCGCGCGCAGGCGGUCCUUUCAGUCUGAUGUGAAAGCCCACGGCUCAACCGUGGAGGGUCAUUGGAAACUGGGGGACUUGAGUGCAGAAGACGAAAGCGGAAUUCCACGUGUAGCGGUGAGAUGCGUAGAGAUGUGGAGGAACACCAGUGGCGAAGGCGGCUUUCUGGUCUGUAACUGACGCUGAGGCGCGAAAGCGUGGGGAGCAAAC
rnacentral:rRNA from 1 species